CGCAGGUGAGUAACACGUAUCCAACCUGCCGUCUACUCUUGGCCAGCCUUCUGAAAGGAAGAUUAAUCCAGGAUGGCAUCAUGAGUUCACAUGUCCGCAUGAUUAAAGGUAUUUUCCGGUAGACGAUGGGGAUGCGUUCCAUUAGAUAGUAGGCGGGGUAACGGCCCACCUAGUCAACGAUGGAUAGGGGUUCUGAGAGGAAGGUCCCCCACAUUGGAACUGAGACACGGUCCAA
rnacentral:rRNA from 1 species